UGGCCACAAACCCCUGCUCACAGCUACCACCGCCCCCCUCCUCCUGCUUCGAAAGCAUACUCACAGCACAGCUGCCCAACGCGCCCUUUGCUGCGUCAGCCACCACUGCGUCCCCUCCUUCCACCUUCACUGUCUCUGCAGUGUCUUCUCUCUUUCUCUAAUCCAAAAACGCAAGAGCGCGUUGUACGCAGAGCAGCUUCACCUUUGUGUGGCGGCCGUGUGCAUCUGCGUGUGCCCUACAACGAGAAUGUCCGCGUGGUCGAGCCGCAAUCUGGCCGCGAUGCUCAAGGAGCAGAGGGCCUCUCCCGCCACGGUGGUGGCGCCGGAGGACAAAAAGACGAACGGCGAUGUGCCGAAACGCCCGGCGGUGUCGGUAGAGCCGAAGAAGCCGGAGCUCCCCGCUCCCGCCGCGGCAGGAGUGCUGGCGGCGGUCUCCACACCUACUCCUGAGACUGUGCCGACCCCUGGGCCUGCUUCCGAGCCAGAGGUGAUGUACACCUCCAUAGGCCCUGUGUCGAUGCCGCAGGCCCUCGCAAAGCUGGUCACGCCUUCUGAGUUUCGUUUCGCAGGUUCCGUCGAGGCUCCGAAGCCCGUCGCUACCCUGCAGCCCGCCGUGACCCACCAGCCAGCGGAGGCGGCGCCGAAGCCGGUGGCCAUUGCCCCACCCAUCCCUGUCGCGGCAGCCCCUGCGCCGACCGUCACAUCCUCCUCCGAUCUGCAGCAGCACCAGUGGAAUCUGCCGCAGCCAGUGUACAACCCGCCAGUGAACGACUACAUGCCUCGGUACCAGGGUGCCCUGCCGUACGGCGGCGAGCUCGGCAGCGUGCCGCGCUUCUACAGCACCGAGAGGCAGUACAACGCGCAGCCCUACCAUCCCACCUACCACACCCCAUACUAUCGUAGCGGCUACAGCAGCAGCGCCAUCCAGUACGAUGGGUACAGUGACAUGUACCACAGCCACUACCCUGGUCAGGGUGCCCCGUACAUGGGCAGUCGCCUGCAGGCCCGCCCGCCGUACUACCCGCCUCGUAAUCCCUCGCUGCAGCAGCACCCUGCGGCUCAGUACAACUAAACCUAUAAGCAACGAUAAUGAUGCGAUGCCGGAAUCACAGCGCAGCUCCUCAUCGGCGCGUGUGUGCUCAUGCGCUGCGUAAACGGUCAUCGAAGUGCAGGAUAAUUUUUUUUAUGUGCUUGAGUGAGACGGUGCCUCUAAUGGCUUGCUCUUCGCCCUCCUCCUCCCCCAUUCUUAUUCUCGUCCUCGUCCACCAUCGCAGCUUCUGAAGCCGUCCACUUCGUAGCCCACUCGCUCUCUCGCGCACAAGUAUCACGCAAGCGCCCCUAAUACACUCUUUUCUGUCGGACUCGUGGUAAUCUAACGGGCGCUCUCGUUCGCCUUCCUGUGACACCGUUCGCUGCCCCGCACAGCCGACGCUCU
rnacentral:misc_RNA from 1 species